GAUCAUGGCUCAGGAUGAACGCUAGCUACAGGCUUAACACAUGCAAGUCGAGGGGCAGCAUUAGGUAGCAAUACUGAGAUGGCGACCGGCGCACGGGUGCGUAACGCGUAUCCAACCUUCCCGUUACUCUUGGAUAGCCUUCCGAAAGGGAGAUUAAUACAGGAUGGUGUUUGAAUUCCGCAUGUUAUUCAAACUAAAGAUUUAUCGGUAACGGAUGGGGAUGCGUGACAUUAGGUAGAUGGCGGGGUAACGGCCCACCAUGCCUACGAUGUCUAGGGGUUCUGAGAGGAAGGUCCCCCACACUGGAACUGAGACACGGUCCAGACUCCUACGGGAGGCAGCAGUGAGGAAUAUUGGUCAAUGGCCGGAAGGCUGAACCAGCCAAGUAGCGUGAAGGAUGAAGGUUCUAUGGAUUGUAAACUUCUUUUAUACGGGAAUAAAACCACCUACGUGUAGGUGCUUGUAUGUACCGUAUGAAUAAGCAUCGGCUAACUCCGUG
rnacentral:rRNA from 1 species